GACGAACGCUGGCGGCGUGCCUAAUACAUGCAAGUCGAGCGGACCGAACAGGAGCUUGCUCUUGUUCGGUUAGCGGCGGACGGGUGAGUAACACGUGGGUAACCUGCCCGUAAGACCGGGAUAACUCCGGGAAACCGGAGCUAAUACCGGAUAACACCGAAGACCGCAUGGUCUUUGGUUGAAAGGCGGCUUCGGCUGCCACUUACGGAUGGGCCCGCGGCGCAUUAGCUAGUUGGUGAGGUAACGGCUCACCAAGGCGACGAUACGUAGCCGGCCUGAGAGGGGGACGGGCCACACGGGGCCUGAGACCGGGCCCAGACCCCUAGGGGGGGACGCAGGAGGGAAUCUCCCGAAAUGGACGAAAGUCGGACGGGGCGGCGCCGGGGGAGGGAAGAAGGUUUUCGGAUCGUAAAGCUUUUUUGUUAGGGAAGAAGAAGGGUCGUUCGAACAGGGCGGCGGGGUGACGGUCCCUAACGAAAAAGCCCCGGCUAACUACGU
rnacentral:rRNA from 1 species